GCACCCUUAGCUCAGUUGGUAGAGCAAUUCAUUUACACUGAAAAGGUCGGGGGUUCGAGUCCCUCAGGGUGCA
rnacentral:tRNA from 1 species